AUUGAACGCUGGCGGCAGGCCUAACACAUGCAAGUCGAACGAGUGGCGGAGGGGUGAGUAAGGUCUGGGAAACUGACUGACGGAGGGGGAUGACUACUGGAAACGGUAGCUAAUACCGAAAACCAACAGAGGUGCCCGGAUGGGAGUAGCUAGUUGGUGGGGUACCGGCUGACCAAGGCGACGAGCCCUAGCUGGUCUGCGAGGAGGACCAGCCACACUGGAACUGAGACACGGUCCAGACUCAUACGGGAGGCAUCAGUGGGGAAUAUUGCACAAUGGGCUCAAGCCUGAUGCAGCCAUGCCGCGUGUAUGAAGAAGGCCUUCGGGUUGUAAAGUACUUUCAGCGGGGAGGCGUUACCCGCAGAAGAAGCACCGGCUAACUCCGUGCCAGCAGCCGCGGUAAUAC
rnacentral:rRNA from 1 species